rnacentral:rRNA from 1 species
UACGUAGGGUGCGAGCGUUGUCCGGAAUUAUUGGGCGUAAAGGGCUCGUAGGCGGCGUGUCAAGUCAGGCGUGAAAGCCCCGGGCUCAACCUGGGAACCGCGCUUGAGACUGGCAUGCUCGAGUUCGGGAGAGGAUGGUGGAAUUCCCAGUGUAGAGGUGAAAUUCGUAGAUAUUGGGAAGAACACCGAUGGCGAAGGCAGCCAUCUGGACCGACACUGACGCUGAGGCGCGAAAGCGUGGGGAGCAAACAGG